UUCCAGACUCCUACGGGAGGCAGCAGUGGGGAAUAUUGCACAAUGGGGGAAACCCUGAUGCAGCGACGCCGCGUGAGCGAUGAAGUAUUUCGGUAUGUAAAGCUCUAUCAGCAGGGAAGAAGAUGACGGUACCUGACUAAGAAGCCCCGGCUAACUACGUGCCAGCAGCCGCGGUAAUACGUAGGGGGCAAGCGUUAUCCGGAUUUACUGGGUGUAAAGGGAGCGUAGACGGCGAUGCAAGCCAGAUGUGAAAGCCCGGGGCUCAACCCCGGGACUGCAUUUGGAACUGCGUGGCUGGAGUGUCGGAGAGGCAGGCGGAAUUCCUAGUGUAGCGGUGAAAUGCGUAGAUAUUAGGAGGAACACCAGUGGCGAAGGCGGCCUGCUGGACGAUGACUGACGUUGAGGCUCGAAAGCGUGGGGAGCAAACAGGAUUAGAUACCCCGGUAGA
rnacentral:rRNA from 1 species